rnacentral:rRNA from 1 species
UACGGAGGAUCCGAGCGUUAUCCGGAAUUACUGGGCGUAAAGAGUUGCGUAGGUGGCAUUGUGUGUCGGUAGUGAAAGCGUGUGGCUCAACCAUAUAUCCAUUAUCGAAACUGCAAAGCUAGAGGACGAGAGAGGUACCUGGAAUUCCCAGUGUAGGAGUGAAAUCCGUAGAUAUUGGGAGGAACACCGAUGGCGUAGGCAGGGUACUGGCUCGUUCCUGACACUAAGGCACGAAAGCGUGGGGAGCAAACGGGG